UGGUGCCUCCCCGGCUCCAACUCCUCCACGGGCAGACUCCCCUUGCACUCCCGCAUCGAACGCGCUGCGUCCCGUGUCCCUAUUCUUCCUGAGUCGAUAGAUCGAUGCUCGACUGCAAGCUCAGCCAUGGCCGUCUUUGAUCCAGAAUCUCCGCCAUGGUCUGGUUCAAAAGAUCCUGCACACUAACGGGCCUCGGCCCAGGUCCUCCGGCUCAGAUCAACGCCUGAUGCGGCCCAGCUCAAUCCGACACCAAGGUCGCCAGAUCCGGUCCAGAAACAGCGCAGCAUUUGCUUCUUCCCGGAUAGGAUCACGAAGUGGUGUUGUGAGAUACGAC